rnacentral:rRNA from 1 species
GCAUCCUACGGGGGGCAGCAGUGGGGAAUAUUGGACAAUGGGGGAAACCCUGAUCCAGCGACGCCGCGUGAGUGAAGAAGUAUUUCGGUAUGUAAAGCUCUAUCAGCAGGGAAGAAAAUGACGGUACCUGACUAAGAAGCCCCGGCUAACUACGUGCCAGCAGCCGCGGUAAUACGUAGGGGGCAAGCGUUAUCCGGAUUUACUGGGUGUAAAGGGUGCGUAGGUGGCAGGGCAAGUCAGAUGUGAAAGCCCGGGGCUCAACCCCGGUACUGCAUUUGAAGCUGUCCAGCUGGAGUGCAGGAGAG